rnacentral:rRNA from 1 species
UACAGAGGUGGCAAGCGUUGUUCGGAAUUACUGGGCGUAAAGGGCGCGUAGGCGGCCUUGUAAGUCCCGUGUGAAAUCCCUCGGCUCGACUGAGGAACUGCACGGGAAACUGCUUGGCUUGAGUUCGGGAGAGGGAAGCGGAAUUCCGGGUGUAGCGGUGAAAUGCGUAGAUAUCCGGAGGAACACCGGUGGCGAAGGCGGCUUCCUGGACCGACACUGACGCUGAGGCGCGAAAGCUAGGGGAGCAAACGGG